rnacentral:rRNA from 1 species
CCUGAUGGAGCGACGCCGCGUGGAGGAUGAAGCCCUUUGGGGUGUAAACUCCUUUUUGGGGGGAUGAUACGGGGUAUGCUCGUAAGGCGCAAGCCCCAAGGGUGUGCCUCUAAGACGGUACCCCCAGAAUAAGCCUCGGCUAACUACGUGCCAGCAGCCGCGGUAAUACGUAGGAGGCGAGCGUUGUCCGGAUUUACUGGGCGUAAAGCGCGCGCAGGCGGCACUCCAAGUACAGUGUGAAAUCUCCCGGCUCAACUGGGAGGGUGCGGUGUAGACUGGGGAGCUAGAGGACGGUAGAGGGGGGUGGAAUUGCUGGUGUAGCGGUGAAAUGCGUAGAGAUCAGCAGGAACACCCGUGGCGAAGGCGGCCCCCUGGGCCG